GCCCGCUCAGAAACUACAAUGAAUUGACGGGGCCCGCACAAGCGGUGGAGUAUGUGGUUUAAUUCGAUGCAACGCGAAGAACCUUACCUGGUCUUGACAUCCCGGAGACCCUUAGGAAACUAGGGGGUGCUUCCAUCUGGAAGAAUCUGGAGACAGGUGCUGCAUGGCUGUCGUCAGCUCGUGUCGUGAGAUGUUGGGUUAAGUCCCGCAACGAGCGCAACCCUUGCCUUUAGUUGCCAGCAGUUCGGCUGGGCACUCUAAAGGGACUGCCGGUGUUAAACCGGAGGAAGGUGGGGAUGACGUCAAGUCCUCAUGGCCUUUAUGACCAGGGCUACACACGUACUACAAUGGCCGAUACAAAGGGCAGCGACACUGCGAGGUGAAGCCAAUCCCGUAAAAUCGGUCUCAGUCCGGAUUGGAGUCUGCAACUCGACUCCAUGAAGUUGGAAUCGCUAGUAAUCGUGGAUCAGCAUGCCACGGUGAAUACGUUCCCGGGCCUU
rnacentral:rRNA from 1 species